CAAGUCGAUGACUAAGCAUGUAGAAAACUUAUUGAUUCCGCGUUUGGACGAGGGUUCAAACCCCUCCACCUCCACAA
rnacentral:tmRNA from 1 species